UACGAAGGGGGCUAGCGUUGCUCGGAAUCACUGGGCGUAAAGCGCACGUAGGCGGAUUGUUAAGUCAGGGGUGAAAUCCUGGAACUCAACUCCAGAACUGCCUUUGAUACUGGCGAUCUUGAGUCCGGGAGAGGUGAGUGGAACUGCGAGUGUAGAGGUGAAAUUCGUAGAUAUUCGCAAGAACACCAGUGGCGAAGGCGGCUCACUGGCCCGGUACUGACGCUGAGGUGCGAAAGCGUGGGGAGCAAACAGG
rnacentral:rRNA from 1 species